GAUUUCAAUUGAAAAAGUCAUCAACAACAAAGUUGAAUAACUCAUCAAGAUCUAAAACUUUUAUUUUUGUUAUUUCUUCAUCUGACGAAAUGUUAGUAAUAUUAUUCACAAAUUUUACAUAUAUGUGUUAUAGUUUAUAAAACCAGAUAAGAGAUAUGUCAAUUUUGUGAACAAUGUUACUAUCACUUUGUCGUAUGAAGAAAUGACCAAAAUAAAAGUUUUAGAUCUUGAUGAGUUAUUCAACUUUGUUGUUGAUGACUUUUUCAGUUGAUAUC
rfam:Oryza sativa Japonica Group DNA, chromosome 12, cultivar: Nipponbare, complete sequence.